AUGAACAGGGCUACACCCAGCAGUACAAAAUUUGUUCAAAGUUCAUUAGAUGGAGCAAAAGUGAUCCUGUGGCUAAACUUAGUGUCCAUACUAGCAGUCUUGACAGGUGCCAAAUCUCAGGUCCAAUUGGUGGAGUCUGGAGGGGAUGUGAGAAGCCCUGGGGAGUCCCUCCGUCUCCCCUGCCAAGCCUCUGGAUUCACCUUCAGCAGCUACUGGAUGGCUUGGGUGAGACAGGCUCCAGGGAAAGGACUGGAAUGGCUUUGCCAUAUACAUCCAACUUCAUCUAACAUUUACUACUCAGACAAAGUCAAGGGCCGCUUCACCAUCUCCAGGGACAAUGCCAAAAGCCAGCUGUAUCUGCAAAUGAACAACCUCAAAACUGAAGACACGGGAGUCUAUUACUGUGCGAGAGCACACAGUGAGAGGAAGUGA